AUGCUGAACGGGGGGAGGGAGGGCCUGUUUCAGCUGGGACAGCAGCUCCAGCAGCAGGGGGAGUACCAGGCCGCCCUACACUGCUUCCUCAGCUCUCUGCUGGGGUUGAGGCAUGUGCAGAGCUUUACCUCGCUGCCCAACUGCCUGCAUCAGAUUGCUGAACUCUUCAUCUCCGAAAAUAAUUACGGCAAGGCCCUGCAGUUCAUUCAGGCUGAGAAGAUGUUCUAUGAGGUUGCUCUGAUCGAGCUCACUGCUGUUCAGGGGAGCACAGGCCCCCAGGAGGAGGCUUUGCUGGGCUCGGCGGGGACAGGAUGGGCGUCCUCAGAGGAGCUAUCGGAUCAGGCCUCUCAGGCACAGCACCUGGAGCAGCUAGCCCAGCUCUGCAUCGUGAGUAAAAGACCUCAUCUUGCUUUAGAGUACAGUGGGAAAGCCACUAAGAUCCAUCAGAGGGCCUUUGGCAACGACCACCCCAUCACAGACAGGAGUCUGGAGCUGCUGGCCACCGUCUACGCAGAGAUCGGCAAGACAGAAUACUCAGACUCCCUGGACCAGUGUGUGUCAGUGCUGUCCAAGAGGUUUGCUGCUGCCGAGUCCUUCAGAGACAAACUCAACAACGGUCUUCCCCAUUCCCACUCCCAUUCCCAUCGGGAGAAACACACUGAGGUCUGGCACAGGAAAGACCCCAGUCCACAGGAUGACACACCAAAACCGAAGGUCACCAACGGUAAAAUCCCUACGUCCAUACUGAAGAGGUCUGGCUCAGGAUCAGACUCGGAGCCCAGCCACAGAUGGAAAGGCGAGCGACGGGUCCGGUUCCGGGAGCCUGAGACCACUGUGCAUGACGUUCCAUACUAUGACUGUUUAGUUGCCUAUGACACGUCACCGCCACGCCCCCACCUGGCCCUGUUCACCUGCUUGUUCCUGCUGAUGUCACUGCUGGGCGUGGUCAUGUACAGCACGGACCGCCGGCGCCCACAGCGUGUGUGUGAGGAGCUGGAGGCCUCAUUGGCUGUCUAUCUGAUACACAUGAAACAGCUGCUGUGGGGCUGCUGGAUCUGGCUAACCAUGCAGUGA
rnacentral:lncRNA from 1 species